rnacentral:rRNA from 1 species
UGGCGGCGUGCCUAUACAUGCAAGUAGAACGCUGAAGACUGGUGCUUGCACUAGUCAGAUGAGUUGCGAACGGGUGAGUAACGCGUAGGUAACCUACCUUAUAGCGGGGGAUAACUAUUGGAAACGAUAGCUAAUACCGCAUGACAAUUAAGUACUCAUGUACUAAAUUUAAAAGGAGCAAUUGCUUCACUAUGAGAUGGACCUGCGUUGUAUUAGCUAGUUGGUGAGGUAACGGCUCACCAAGGCCACGAUACAUAGCCGACCUGAGAGGGUGAUCGGCCACACUGGGACUGAGACACGGCCCAGACUCCUACGGGAGGCAGCAGUAGGGAAUCUUCGGCAAUGGGGGCAACCCUGACCGAGCAACGCCGCGUGAGUGAAGAAGGUUUUCGGAUCGUAAAGCUCUGUUGUUAGAGAAGAACGGUAAUGGGAGUGGAAAAUCCAUUACGUGACGGUAACUAACCAGAAAGGGACGGCUAACUACGUGCCAGCAGCCGCGGUAAUACGUAGGUCUCGAGCGUUGUCCGGAUUUAUUGGGCGUAAAGCGAGCGCAGGCGGUUAUUUAAGUCUGAAGUUAAAGGCCGUGGCUCAACCAUGGUUCGCUUUGGAAACUGGAUAACUUGAGUGCAGAAGGGGAGAGUGGAAUUCCAUGUGUAGCGGUGAAAUGCGUAGAUAUAUGGAGGAACACCGGUGGCGAAAGCGGCUCUCUGGUCUGUAACUGACGCUGAGGCUCGAAAGCGUGGGGAGCAACAGU